rfam:Ornithorhynchus anatinus chromosome 2, whole genome shotgun sequence.
AGCAGCGUGUCUCAGUGGAAAGAGCAUGGGCUUGGGAGUCAGAGAUCAUGGGUUCGAAUCCCAGCUCUGCCA